GUUACUCGAUCCCUGUGAGCGCAGAGUCCCUUUUAAUGACUAUUUUCGUGGGAAUUAUUGUGGAGGGAAGGAGAGAGAAGAGAGAAGAGAAGAGAAGGGAAAGGAGGGAAGGCCAGGGGAGGGAGAAAGAAGACAGGAUAAAGCCCAAUAGGUACUUAUUUAAUUACGUAACUAAGAAGGGGAUUUACAAGGAGGUAAGAUAAGAGCGAGGCGGAACCAAAGACAGAGCACUAGAGAGGAAAAGGAGAAUCAAGCGUUGAGGAUGAAAGCAUGGAGACGAAUAGAUUAAGGAGUCAGGGAAGUUUUGGAGGGGAUUCGAGGUGAAGAUGGAAAAUGAAACAGGGAAGAGGAGGGAGGAGAGAGAAGGGGCAAGGCGGUGGCGAUAGAAGGACAGAGGGGAGGGAGCUCUGGAAGCAGGUAGGAGGGGUGGGGAAGGCACGGAAGGGAAGGAAGCAACGCGAGAAAGAACGGGAUGAGGCAGUGCAGUGGGAGUGAAACAAUGCCAAGGGUUCUUCGGGGAAGUUCUAAGCUUCUGGCCAGCUACCAAGACCAGCUCGGCCUUAGCAAGUGAGCGCUCGGGCUCUCCAGAAAUGGCGCCCGACUUUGAGACCAUCACAGGAGUAACAACCGACGUGAACUUAUUCGUAUUUCUACAUCUCCCAUGAGAAUGCUAGGACGUUUCCGGCCUGAGAACUUAUGAUGCACUGCGUAACACCCUGCGUGUCCUUGUGUUCUUGAGCAGCUGAGCUGAGAGAAAUGGUGGAGAGCUUGUGGCUCUUCCAGGCAAGGAUGUGUCGGUUAUGAGCACGUGCGGAGCGCUCAGGAGCCCACAGCAGAUGUCUAAGUCGUCACCUCGGACAGUGGGCAGAGCCAUCGAGGAUACCAGCAGCUAAAAGAAGCUUCCUCACCUACCCUCCAACAAGGCUGAGCAGGAGGAUUAUAAAUUUGGGCCCAGUCUGGGCAACACAGUAACUAAAUGA